rnacentral:rRNA from 1 species
CAGCAGCCGCGGCAAUACGCAGGUGGCGAGCGUUGCCCGGAAUUACUGGGCGUAAAGGGUGCGUAGGCGGCCGGACAAGUCAUAGGUUAAAGCCCGGAGCUCAACUCCGGAAAGGCCUAUGAUACUGUCUGGCUUGAGGGCCGGAGAGGCUGGCGGAAUUCCCGGUGUAGGGGUGAAAUCCGUAGAUAUCGGGAGGAACACCGGUGGGGAAGCCGGCCAGCUGGACGGUUCCUGACGCUGAGGCACGAAAGCGUGGGGAGCAAACCGGAUUAGAUCCCCGGGUAGCCCACGCCGUAAACGAUGGGCGCUAGGUGUGGGGGUGAAAGCCUCUGUGCCGUAGCUAACGCGUUAAGCGCCCCGCCUGGGGAGUACGGCCGCAAGGCUGAAACUUAAAGGAAUUGGCGGG